AACUGAGAAGUAUAGGAAUAUGUUGAACAAAAUGAACCGAGUUUGUAUGAGACUAAGAGUAAUUUCUUUAUGUCGGUUUUGAAGCAUUUGAAAGAGGAACACGUGUAUCUGGUGUAUUGUUUGUGAAACUGGGACAGACAUAAAUUGAUUUUCCCAAUGUCACAUGCUCACUCUGUGGCAGAGCAGGCAACACAUGACUGGACUCUGUGGAAUUUAUUUGAGGAAGCUAAGAGCCACGGCGACCUCUCAAAGCUACCACAUUGCAACUUCUACCAAUGCAAGGCAAGGAAACUCCCAGAAACUGCUGCACUAACCUUUCGUCUGGGAUGUAGGGAAGAAAACUAUCCAAGGAAGCAAGAAGCCAGAGUGACCUCCCAUUAUACCAAGCAGGAGAUCUGAAGGAUGGGACAGCAACGUAUUACACCUGGGAAAAUCAGCAGAAUUUCCUUCCUUGAACUCCCUUUGGAGUCACACUGCCAGACUACCAACCAGCUAAACACCACAGCUAAACUCUGCAUCAUUUGUUUAAAAGGUCUUAGCUAACCAAAUGUUGGUAUGGUCCACUGAGUCAGUCUCAGCAGAGUACAUGGGACCUUCAAAACAUUUUCUUCUACAAUGCCAGUGACCUGUUUCAAUUUUCUUUGUCCUGCUUUAAGAACUAAGCUGAAAUGUAGGGCAGUUUUUCCCCCCACUACUGUUUUAAGGUUUUUCAUGAAUAAGGUUUUAAUUUUUCUUCUUUUUAAUCUCUUAAGCAGCAUUUUAUUUUACAUUGCUCACAGUGCAAAUUAUGACCUCCAGUACAGAUUAGCUGUGAAACAUAUAGCUAAGGGAGAGGAAACUCAGAGGGUUUAUCUUGUACUUUUCCCUGUGUUUUCCUCCCACACCUGUGGUGAUUGAUGGAAGAUAAGCCCUGUAAUUCAGGUUGCCCUGGUCCUGCCCUAUCAUAUUUGUACUUUCCUCCCAUCCUGUGAACACUUCCCUCUUUGCACUCCAAUUUACUUCAAUCUUUUCAAUAUUAGCCAAAAGAAAGAAAGAAAAAAAGAAAAAGCAAAGAACCCCCCCCCCCAAAGGUCUCAUAACUCUAUUAAAAAUAAAAAUGCAAGAACUCCACUGAAACUGAAGGAAGUCUCUCUAUUGACCUUAAUAGACACUGGAUAAAAUUUCAAGUGAAAAGAAGCACUGAAGCUGGCUUGAGUUGGGAAAGCAGUGCUCAUGUGUCCUCUUACCCAUCUGCCUACACAUACACAAGAAAGGGGCUGUAGAUUUCUCCAGCAAAAAGGGGCUACAAAAAUAGAAUGAGGGCAAUUUUUCAUUCCCUGUGUACUCUAUAUCAAAUGUGGAGACUGCCAGAGUUGUUGGGGUUUUUUUUGUUUUUUGUUUAUUUUUUGUUUUAAAAACCAUGUGCUUUUCUACCCUUCUACUCAGAAAAAGAAACUUAAGACA